rnacentral:lncRNA from 1 species
GGCUCGUGGAGCAGCCUCAGUAUAACAUGUCUGGAAAGUGCUGGGGACGCAGCUGCCACUGCCUGGAUUCUCACUCACGCAGGGGUGCACGGAUCUGGGACUAGGGGUGCAGCUCCGCUCACAGGAGGAUGGACUCUCCAGGCUGCAGAAGCACAGAGCCGGGCCAGGAGCCAGCCUUCUGGGGUCUCUCAGCUUCUCCUGUGCACAGUGGGUCUUCAGUUUCCCUGGACACAGCCCCACACUGAAACCCCCCGCCCUUCCACUCCUGGCUGCCAGCCUGGGCACCAUCAUGGGCUAAGCAUGGGGGGCCCCCACCUUCACAGCCCCUCAGAGAAGGUGUUACUAGGGUCACUGACCAUGGCACUGUGCUGAGAGGGCCUUCCUCUUUUUCCCUUUUUGGAGGUGAUUGAUACACAAAAAACUGCAGGCACUUGUGUACAUGAACCAGUACAUUGGGAAGAAGGAAAACACCCAUCAAUCCGUUGCCAUCUUCCCAAGGAACACAGGACAGUGUAGAAGUUCAUGUCGAUUUGUGAUCCUCCACGCUAGCUGUGCUUUCUGCGGACUUGGCCUUUAGGACAGAAGAGCUGUAUCUUUCUGGUCAGUGCCGUCCUGGCAGAUUUUCUAGCUUCCCCACCUGCUCUACGCCUCCAGCUUCCCCCCAAAACCAGUUCUGUGUCCAGAAAUAAGCGAAUUUCGUGAAAAUCAUGGAAGCAUCCUUUCGUGUUUCUGUGGUUAUGCUGUCUUCCUGGGGGCUCAGGACUUGGGCCACGCACCUUUCUCAGCUGUAGUGGUUUUCAUAUGGAAAAUCAUGGUAUCACUUUCAGCUUCUCAUCACAGAGAUGUUUAAAAUCCACUUACGUUUUCUGGGCUUUGGACAGAGGUUCUGGGGGCAUUGUGAUUAUUUGGUUGUUCCACAGCAGAAAAGCAAUCGGGGAU